rnacentral:rRNA from 1 species
AGAGUCACUCCUACGGGAGGCAGCAGUGGGGAAUUUUGGACAAUGGGGGCAACCCUGAUCCAGCAAUGCCGCGUGUGUGAAGAAGGCCUUCGGGUUGUAAAGCACUUUUGUCCGGAAAGAAAACCUCCGUCCUAAUACGGUGGGGGGAUGACGGUACCGGAAGAAUAAGCACCGGCUAACUACGUGCCAGCAGCCGCGGUAAUACGUAGGGUGCAAGCGUUAAUCGGAAUUACUGGGCGUAAAGCGUGCGCAGGCGGUUCGCUAAGACCGAUGUGAAAUCCCCGGGCUUAACCUGGGAACUGCAUUGGUGACUGGCGGGCUAGAGUAUGGCAGAGGGGGGUAGAAUUCCACGUGUAGCAGUGAAAUGCGUAGAGAUGUGGAGGAAUACCGAUGGCGAAGGCAGCCCCCUGGGCCAAUACUGACGCUCAUGCACGAAAGCGUGGGGAGCAAACAGGAUUAGAUACCCUGGUAGUCCACGCCCUAAACGAUGUCAACUAGUUGUCGGGUCUUCAUUGACUUGGUAACGAAGCUAACGCGUGAAGUUGACCGCCUGGGGAGUACGGUCGCAAGAUUAAAACUCAAAGGAAUUGACG